rnacentral:rRNA from 2 species
UGGAUCCAGACUUUGAUUCUGGCUCAGGAUGAACGCUAGCUGCAGGCUUAACACAUGCAAGUCGAGGGGCAGCGGGAUUGAAGCUUGCUUCAAUUGCCGGCGACCGGCGCACGGGUGAGUAACGCGUAUCCAACCUUCCGUACACUCAGGGAUAGCCUUUCGAAAGAAAGAUUAAUACCUGAUGGUAUGAUGAGAUUGCAUGAUAGCAUCAUUAAAGAUUUAUCGGUGUACGAUGGGGAUGCGUUCCAUUAGGUAGUAGGCGGGGUAACGGCCCACCUAGCCAACGAUGGAUAGGGGUUCUGAGAGGAAGGUCCCCCACAUUGGAACUGAGACACGGUCCAAACUCCUACGGGAGGCAGCAGUGAGGAAUAUUGGUCAAUGGACGAGAGUCUGAACCAGCCAAGUAGCGUGAAGGAUGAAGGUCCUACGGAUUGUAAACUUCUUUUAUAAGGGAAUAAACCCUCCCACGUGUGGGAGCUUGUAUGUACCUUAUGAAUAAGCAUCGGCUAACUCCGUGCCAGCAGCCGCGGUAAUACGGAGGAUGCGAGCGUUAUCCGGAUUUAUUGGGUUUAAAGGGAGCGCAGACGGGUCGUUAAGUCAGCUGUGAAAGUUUGGGGCUCAACCUUAAAAUUGCAGUUGAUACUUGCGUCCUUGAGUGCGGUUGAGGUGUGCGGAAUUCGUGGUGUAGCGGUGAAAUGCUUAGAUAUCACGAAGAACUCCGAUUGCGAAGGCAGCACACUAAUCCGUAACUGACGUUCAUGCUCGAAAGUGUGGGUAUCAAACAGGAUUAGAUACCCUGGUAGUCCACACGGUAAACGAUGGAUACUCGCUGUUGGCGAUAUACUGUCAGCGGCUUAGCGAAAGCGUUAAGUAUCCCACCUGGGGAGUACGCCGGCAACGGUGCAACUCAAAUGAAUUGACGGAA